rnacentral:lncRNA from 1 species
AAGGGUGAUGUGAUCAUCUUACGUGUAAAAGAAAACCGAAUUUCACUUCUGGUGGUGACUAUUGUCUGAUUCAUCAUUACAGUAACCACCCAAGGAAACCCUGCCCACAAAAAGCAUUCUUCUGGAGAAGGAACAGUUUUUGGUGACACACAUGAUGGCAACAAUGAACGCUUUGUGGCACGAUGACCUCUAUGAAAAAGAGAGAUAUACAGGUUUUGCUUUUGUUCACUCAACUAAUUACCAACCUUUCAUUAUACCUCUACUCGGACAUCUAAACUUCAGUUAAGCUCUAUGUUUAAGUGGGAUGGAUCUUCAAUUUGCCUACCUAAGG